rnacentral:rRNA from 1 species
AAUUCCAGGUGUAGCGGUGAAAUGCGUAGAGAUCUGGAGGAAUACCGGUGGCGAAGGCGGCCCCCUGGACAAAGACUGACGCUCAGGUGCGAAAGCGUGGGGAGCAAACAGGAUUAGAUACCCUGGUAGUCCACGCUGUAAACGAUGUCGACUUGGAGGUUGUUCCCUUGAGGAGUGGCUUCCGGAGCUAACGCGUUAAGUCGACCGCCUGGGGAGUACGGCCGCAAGGUUAAAACUCAAAUGAAUUGACGGGGGCCCGCACAAGCGGUGGAGCAUGUGGUUUAAUUCGAUGCAACGCGAAGAACCUUACCUACUCUUGACAUCCAGAGAACUUAGCAGAGAUGCUUUGGUGCCUUCGGGAACUCUGAGACAGGUGCUGCAUGGCUGUCGUCAGCUCGUGUUGUGAAAUGUUGGGUUAAGUCCCGCAACGAGCGCAACCCUUAUCCUUUGUUGCCAGCGAUUCGG